rnacentral:rRNA from 1 species
GACGAACGCUGGCGGCGUGCUUAACACAUGCAAGUCGAACGGAAAGGCCCUGCUUUUGUGGGGUGUUCGAGUGGCGAACGGGUGAGUAACACGGGAGUAACCUGCCCUGGACUUUGGGAUAACUUCAGGAAACUGGGGCUAAUACCGGAUAGGAGCGCCUGCUGCAUGGUGGGGGUUGGACAGUUUCGGCGGAUGGGGAUGUACUGAGGGCUUGUCAGCUUGUUGGUGGGGUAAUGGCUUACCAAGGCUUUGACGGGUAGCCGGCCUGAGAGGGUGACCGGGGACAAUGGAACGGAGAGACGGUGCAGACUCAUACGGGAGGCAGCAGUGGGGAAGAUUGUACAAGGGGGGAAAGCCUGAGCCAGCGAUGCCGCGUGUGUGAAGAAGGUCUUCGGAUGGUAAAGAACUUUAAGGUGGGAGGAAGGGGAGUAAGUUGAUAACUUGCUGGUUUGACGUUACCAACAGAAUGAGCACCGGCUAACUUCGUG